rnacentral:tRNA from 3 species
CCCCUGAUGGUCUAGUUGGAUAUGGCGCUCGGCUGUAAACCGAGAGGUCCCCGGAUCGAUCCCGGGUCGGGGGA